rnacentral:snRNA from 1 species
ACUAUGCCUGAGCGGGGUAAAGC